rnacentral:tRNA from 1 species
GCCCGGGUAGCUCAGAGGUAGAGCGUUUGCAUGGUAAGCAAGAGGGCGCAGGUUCGAUUCCUGUUCUGGGCA